GUUAUAAUCUUGCUGUAAAGUUUUAUACUUMAUGGAAGAUACACAUAUUUAAUGAAAUACAGYGGGCCUGGAAGUGAAACCUCCCUGAGUGCCAAACAGUUUUUCUGUCAUCAGAUCAUUUAUARUGKAGAUUUUAAAUAAAAUCAGCAUUUGUUUUCAUUCAAACCACUUUWUGUGUGGAGGAASUCCUGACUCCAGUCUGCAGCGGCUCUCUGCACAGCAGCAGAGUUCUGUGCCAGUCAUUGAUUGAUUKGUUGUUUGUGUUUUACUUUAUGAUAUGAUUUUGGUUGUAACAGAGGCAACGACAGAAAAGCCAUUCUCAGAGGAACGAAGUGGCAAAAAGGACUCAGGCAGCCUGAAGUGACCCAGAGCAGAUUUUUCUUUUGCCCUUAUGUGACCUAAAUCUCAUCUUUUCAUAACAGUCUGAACACCACAAAUCAGAUUCUAUAAAUGUGA